rnacentral:misc_RNA from 1 species
GGCGCCGCGCGAGAGGGUCGUCGAGGCCGCGGCGUAGACUGAACUACAUCUCAGUCAGUGGCUAAGACCGCCAUAACACUGCUCAUCCGAAAGCAUAGACACUCGUGACCGGAACGAAAGCUUUUUGCAAGCACUUUGCUGUUCCCAAAGCAGGUCCCGAGCGCCGUAAAAACAGGUCAAUUAAUGUGGACUUCGGAACCGAGGGAAAGAAAAAAUAGUCAAAGGACAUUGGACUUGAAGAACAUUAUCAUAAUCACAAAAUAUUACUCCUGCGGCCGUCGACGAUAUUGAGCAACGUGCCGGAGACGCAGAGAAAGGGCGGUUCAAGGCGGCGCCGCCAAGGAAAUCAAGGAAAGGCGAUACCAUUCCAGGCGGACAGAUGGCCUCGCGUCCUCACCCGGCCUCCGGGACCGCCCAGCUCAUCAAGCACACCGUGAACGGAUUCCGGUACCAGGUGGCUGUCGUGACCAAGGGGCGGGCGGUGUUCGCGCAGGUGGUGGAAUGGCUGUACCGGGGGGGGCCAUGUGUUCAGACUUACUUUGUCAGUCUAGGAUAUACUGAUGCCGACUACAGACGGAAGUUUAACAGUGAGCAGAGAGCUUUGCUUGACAGGAAGGCCCCGUUCAGAGAGUACGACAUCUCAUUUCUCUAUAUCAUUCUUCAACUCAUGUGUGGACUAGCCAACCCCAAUAACUGCGUAUGGAAUUCUCCCAAGAAAGGGCAGCCUCUCGAACACCUUCUCUACAAGAUUAAACAAAAGAGGAACAACUUUGCGCACUCGAAUGAUGUGCAGCAGAUGUCAGACCAGAAGCUUAUUAAAGAGUUCAAGAGACUAAAGUGUUUAUUCUCAAGGAUCAUACGACUGGCGGGAAGCCAGAGCGGGAUACGGCCAAACGUAUAUCGCGACGAAGUGUCUGAGAUCAAACUUGACUUUCGAGACCUCUUGCAGAAGGUCAGGGAACCUCUUCAAGGGUCGGACUUGAACCUGCUCCCGCAACUCCAACAAGAAAUCGAAGUGUUUAAGGAUAUACUUCAGCGCAAGCUGGAGGACGACUGUCGGAAGGAGUUGCACAAUCUCUACCCAUUUCUGUGGGAUGUCACCCUUGCGCAAUGGCUGUUUCCAGACCUCAAACUCCCACCGAGUCAGAACUUCACGAACCUGGUGCUCGAGGAAGAUUUAGGGGCGUGUCCACCAUCGUGGCAGCAGCCUAGGACAGUUCCUCAUGAAACUCUGCUGGAGGUUACCUGCGGCGGUCAGCUGGCCCAAGUGAUCAUCAUAUCAGGUGAGGGAGGAAUAGGGAAAACCACGCUGCUGAAAUACAUGCUGGAGAUGUGGGUGAGAGAUCCCUCGCAAAUCAAGGGGCUUCGAGAUGUUUUGCCUCUCAUGUAUCUGCAGCUUCGAGGUUCUAACAUCAGCAGUUGGAAGGAACUGUUUAAGAAUCUCCUUUGCAAUACAUUUAUGGAGUCUGGCCUUACUAUGGACACCUUUCUAGACGUGUUGCACAAAAUGCACGUCGUUGUGCUUCUGGAUGGCUAUGAUGAGGCGAAUGAAAAAGCAAAGAGACUCAUUGACGAUCUCUUAAACUACGCUGGCAACAUGCGAAUUGUGAUUAGCACAAGACCAGGCGACGCCCAAGAGCUGACUUCGUUGAUCGGGAAUAAAAAGCAGGUCAUGAACGUCGAAAUCAAAGGGAUCCUUCGGGAAGAUCGGCCUCGCCUCGUGGAAGGCACCCUGGCUGCCCUUGUGCGCGAGCCAAGCCUAAAGGACAAAAUGAAGGAUAAAGUCCUGCAACAUCUGGAAAGGUUGGCUUUGCAAAAGGACGAGCUGGACAUCCCCCUGACAGUCAUACUUUUGAUCGUCCGAGAGGUCGAGGCGCCAGACCAAAGUUCAGAAAACAUCUAUGAGGAACUGAUGGCUCUCAUGACGGGCAAGAUUGAGGAGAGGUUAGUCCUGAAGGGCAUUGAGGAUGCGAACGAGAAGAUCAGAGCUUAUUGCGAUUUCCAAAAGGAAGUCGCUCCUCGGGGCGUGAAGAGACUUGAAAGGGACGUGUUGGAGGAAGGCAUUGCAAGUCUGAAAGCUAAGUGCAUCAGUCUCCAUCUGCCGUGGAGGGAAAUGCUCUCUGGAUUUCUCAUUUCGAAAUAAUCCUUAAAAAAAAGACUUGUUUAUCUUCUACAUCAGAUUUCAACAUUACAUGGUCAUGAAAUAUUUAACGAUUUCUAGAAAGUACAAUCCAACGUUAAUAUGAUGAACCAUUGAAUAAGACGAAUACGUGAGAUCAAAGUGAGAGAUCUGGGAUUGCAAAGUGACUCAGCAUUUUUGAUGGAAACUCCCAGGACGAUUUGUAUUUUAAUUUUCGCCUAAUCACGAGGCGCCUUACUCCGCUUCCAGUGUUCAUUACAAAUGCAGAUAUGGUUUGUUUUUGGUUAAUUGAUGUUUUCAGUGCAUUUGUUAUAUCAGAAACAAAUGCUGAGACAUUCGAUAUAGUUAGACACGCAGAAUAAAUGCAAAGUUCACCCCCGGGUUUCUUGCAUGGAAUCAGGACCAAAGAAGGGGACAUCACACUGGGAAAUCUCUCCUCAGGAAGAUCUGGACGGACAUCAGGCAUGCCACGAUGCAAAAAAAUAUAUGCCAUUAUUAUUUUUCUGAGGCAUAUUUAUACCCAAGUUCCGGUUGGGGCGGUUGUCCCCCUCCCCCCCCUCCCCGAGUAACUACGUAUGAAGGUGACAAGCGAAGCACCGAGAGUCGUCCUCCUGAGAGCCUGAGAGCCUGGCUGGGCGGAGAAAAAGGACUCUCUGGCGGGGAGGACCUGAUGAAGGACUUGAAGGACUUGUCAGCGGAGGGAAUGUGGCCAUGAGUCCGCUCCCGCAAAUGUUCAAGCUUAGGAGAAGCUGCACGGUGAUAGCGAUAAAUAUCAACAGCCUGACAGCAGGGGCGUAGCCAAUAUUCUGGUAAAGGGGUGAGCCCAUGGUGAAAAAUAGGGGCCAAUACAGUAUACCCAUGUACACCAUAUACAUCCAGAUAAUGGUGUAUUGUCAGAGCGGUACGAGAGUUUGGGUUACGGCUCGGCAGCGGGGAGAAGGCGGCCCAGGACGAGAAGCGAGAGACCGAGUGUGGCGCCAUAGGGGACGCCGUAUGAUUUUCAUGAAUAAAGCCAUCUCGAGCAGCUUA